rnacentral:rRNA from 1 species
GAUGAACGCUGGCGGCGUGCUUAACACAUGCAAGUCGAACGAUGAAGCCCAGCUUGCUGGGUGGAUUAGUGGCGAACGGGUGAGUAACACGUGAGUAACCUGCCCUUAACUCUGUGAUAAGCCUGGGAAACUGGGUCUAAUACCGGAUAGGAGCGUCCACCGCAUGUUGGGUGUUGGAAAGAUUUAUCGGUUUUGGAUGGACUCGCGGCCUAUCAGCUUGUUGGUGAGGUAAUGGCUCACCAAGGCGACGACGGGUAGCCGGCCUGAGAGGGUGACCGGCCACACUGGGACUGAGACACGGCCCAGACUCCUACGGGAGGCAGCAGUGGGGAAUAUUGCACAAUGGGCGCAAGCCUGAUGCAGCGACGCCGCGUGAGGGAUGACGGCCUUCGGGUUGUAAACCUCUUUCAGUAGGGAAGAAGCGAAAGUGACGGUACCUGCAGAAGAAGCACCGGCUAACUACGUG